rnacentral:rRNA from 1 species
UGAGAAUGCAGCCCAAAGAGGGUGGUAAACUCCAUCCAAGGCUAAAUACAAGCACGAGUCCGAUAGCGAACAAGUACCGUGAGGGAAAGUUGAAAAGUACUUUGAAGAGAGAGUAAACAGUACGUGAAACCGCAUGCAGGUAAACGGGUGGCGUCAAGCUGCGAACCCAGAGGAUUCAGCUGACUAGGAUGUUGUGAUGUGCCUGGCGCAUCCAUCAGUCGGAAUAAGAUGUGAUAGUCCACUGGGAGACGGUGGGCCCGGCCGCAAGGUUGGGAUAUGUGUACCGGGUGUUAGCCGGAGCAUGCUAUUCAUCUGUUGGGCUGUCUAGUCAGUGCAUUUUCUCUGUGGUGAACACCACGACCGGUGGAAUUGCCAGUCUGCUGUAGUCGAUUCUUGCUGAGAGGGUCCUUGUGGCCAACUUGGUGAGAUCACAGGCAAUGUCAGUGUACGGCGUGGGAGUGCCUUUGGUGUUCCUACGUGUUAUCGGGUGCUGCUUGUCAACGGGCCUGCUCGGUAGUUGUUGUAACUGCUGCUGGGUGGUCUGGUGGGCUAUGGUGGUAAUAAAAACUGUGCAAGGCACCGGAGAUGUCGGCCCCAAGAGCUCUCUAUGCUGACACGUUACAAGUGUGAGGGGGUGCCAUUGCAGUUUGCCUGUUGUUGAGUCUGAUUGUCGUGUCGCCUGCGCAAAGUGGGCCCGGCAGUGGCUUGAUGCAGGAUGGGCUGUGGAUGGUGUCUCUCAGGUGUAGAGGGCAGUGGGCCCAAUAGUCAGUGGUGCUGUGGUAGACGAGCUACCCGACCCGUCUUGAAACACGGACCAAGGAGUUUAACAUGUAUGCGAGUCAAAGGGCCCUACGAAACCCCAAGGCGCAAUGAAAGUAAAGCUUCGACUUGUUCUCGGAGUGAGGUGAGAUCCUGCCGUAACUCGCAUCGCUUGGUGCCAGCAUCAGGCAAAGAGCGGUAGGCGCAUCACCGGCCCGUCCCAUGAUGUGGUCAUUGGAUGUCUGCGGUCGUUGGCAAC